rnacentral:lncRNA from 1 species
UCCAUUUCUGUGGAAAUCAGACAUUAGUGAUUUGAAGAUAUCCUUGAAAAUAGACCAUUGGGUGAUUAGGAACUUCACUGUGAAGCCAUCCGGGCCCGGAGCUUUGUUGUUGCCAAGUGCCUUUAAUGCCUUAAAGAUCUCUGUUAGGAUUCUACACCCUUUUUAAUAAAAUACCCAACUAGGGCUAAACAGAGACAGAAUAUAUAGCCCAAAGUUACAGCUACAAUAAGGAAUGAAAACAAGAACAAUGAACAACAAGAACAAACCUGCACCCUUCACAAGAAGGAUACCCCCUCCUAUCAGCUGCUGCCGCCUCCCUUUCUUAAAAGAUAACCAAAAAGAUACCCAUCCCUAUUUCUCAAUCAUUCUAUUUAUACUCACCCUCAAAUUCCUACCCAGUGGGACCCACCUGCACAUUCUUUUAUUUCCCACUCAUUCUCUCUCCUUACAUGUUGGUGAGUUUCCCUUCUUACCCUUCCUAACAUACGUAUGUAUGAUUGGGGUCUCACAACACCCCUCGGUUCAAAAUUCACCUUGUCCUCAAGGUGGAAUGUGGGAAACUGUUGAUUCAUUUGAUAGACAGCUUCCCAUGUGGCUUCAGUUUCUGGUAAAUUCUUCCACUUGACUAGCCAUUCGUUAGCUCCCAAUUCUUUGUUCCAGCGAAUUCCCAAUACCUGUUCUGGCCAUAGUUGUAAUUCGAAAUCUGUUGUCAACAUAGGUUGUUGUUGCUGCACAACCUUCUGCUUACCUAACUUGAGCUUCAACUAUAGGCCACCUCUCCUAUCUCUUCAAUGAUUGUGUAAGGCCCGUAGAAUUUUGGAGCCAGCUUUUCACACCUUUUCCGAGCUAAGGAUCUCUGCCUAUAAGGUCUGAGCUUUAGGUAUACUUCAUCACCCACCUUGAACUUCAAUUCCCUUCUUUUGGUGUCUGCCCAUUUCUUCAUGCGGUUUUGGGCUAAGUGAAGGUUCUCCUUCAAGGCGUUCAAUGCCAGAUCUCUCUCCUUGAGCAUUAUUUCUACCUCAUCAUUCUGAGUUUUUCGGGUUCCGUAGGAUAGAAUCGGGGUGGUUGCCUUCCAUAUACAAUCUUGAAAGGGUUGGAACGUAUGGAUGAAUGGAAAGUAGUGUUAUACCACAGUUCAGCCGAUGGAAUGAACUUAUGCCACCUUUGGGGUUGUUCAUUGCAAAAGCAUCUCAAGUAUGUCUCCAGACAUUGGUUUACCCUUUCCGUUUGUCCAUCUGUUUGUGGGUGGAACGCCGUGCUUCUUUUCAGUUUAGUUCCCAUAGUUGUAAAUAACUCCUUCCAAAAAUGACUAAUGAAAACUUUAUCCCUGUCGGAUACUAUGGAUUUUGGAACCCCAUGCUUGCUGAUGAUCUUUUCAAUGAAUGUCGUCGCCACUUGUUUAGCUGUGAAAGGGUGCUUCAUAGUGAUGAAAUAAGCAUACUUGCUCAAUCUGUCUACCACCACCAUUAUCACAUUCAUUCCCCCUGCCUUCGGUAACCCUUCUAUGAAAUCCAUUGACCAUUCUUCUAGUAUGGCUUCCGGAGCAGGAAGUGGAUGUAAUACCCCUGCUGGUUUCGUGGCCUCAUAUUUGUUUCUUUGACAAAUCUCACACUGUUCCACAUAUUUCUUUAUACCAGCCUUCAUUCCCUCCCAGUACAGCUCUCCGCUCAUCCUUUUCUAUGUCCUCAAGAAUCCCGAGUGUCCUCCUAAGAUGGAGUCAUGGAAUGUAUGCAGCAAUGUGGGAAUCACUGACGACUUCUUUGAUAAUACCACUCUCUUCUUGUAGAACAGUUUCCCAUUCUCCUAGCUAAAUUUGCUAAUUCCCUCUGGAUUCUGUUUCAAUUCUUUAAUGGUUUUCUGUAAUUCCUCAUCUUGGUUGACUUCCUUGUCUAUCACUUCCAUGUCUACAAUGCCAGUUGUCGUCAAGGAGUUUACUUCCAGCGGAUAUUCCAUCCUAGAAAGGGCAUCUGCUGCUUUGUUUUGUAAUCCAGGUUGGUAUAAUAUUUCAAAAUCGUAUCCCAGCAGUUUGGUCAGCCAUUUCUGAAAUUGGGGUUGUACUUCCCUCUGCUCAAGGAGAAAUUUCAAUGCCUUUUGAUCUGAGAUAAUUGUAAACUUCCUUCCUAAUAGAUAAUGACGCCAUUUCUGCACUGAUAAUACUACAGCCAUCCGUUCUCUUUCGUAAAUGGACUUGGCCUGAGCUCGUGUCGACAAUUUCUGGCUGAAGAAGGCUAUGGGUGACCAUUCUGUGAAAGUACAGCUCCCAAUCCUGUCCCUGAAGCAUCUGUUUCGAUUAAAAAAGGUAGAUCCCAAUUCGGCAGUGCUAGCACCGGGAUAGUAGUCAUGGCCAUCUUUAAUUUUUCAAAGGCCUCGGUUGCUUGUUCAUCCCACGCAAAAGAAUUCUUUUGCAACAAUCUGGUCAAGGGGGCUGCAAUUUCUCCGUAUCCUUUCACAAACCUACGAUAAUAGCCCGAUAAUCCCAGAAAUCCUCUCAGACCCGUGACAUCUUUCGGCUGAGGCCAUUUCACCAUGUCUUUGAUCUUCUCCUCAUCAGCCUGUACUCCUUUACUCGAAAUUAUAUGCCCCAAAUAUUGGAUUUUGGAGUGAGCUAUGACACACUUCUUCUUAUUUGCAAAUAGAUGUUAUCUCUCAACACUGCAAAUACCAUCCCUAGAUGUUUCUCAUGUUCUGCUAUAUCCUUGCUAUAUACAAGUAUAUCAUCGAAGAAUACCAAUACACACCUUCUUAAAAAGGGUUUGAAUACCUGAUUCAUCAAGGACUGGAAGGUGGCUGGUGCGUUUGUAAGACCGAAGGGCAUUACCAGAAAUUCAUAGUGACCCUCAUGUGUUUCUGAACGCGGUCUUCUCAACAUCUUCCUUCUGCAUCCUUAUUUGAUGGUAACCGGACUUCAGAUCUAGUUUUGAGAAAACCGUGGCUCCAUGUAAUUCAUCCAGCAGUUCUUCUAUCACUGGGAUAGGAAAUUUGUCUGAUAUGGUUACUUGGUUGAGUUUCCGGUAAUCUACACAAAACCGCCACCCUCCAUCUUUCUUUUUGACCAAUAAAACAGGGCUGGAGUAAGGGCUAUGACUGGGACGUAUCACACCUGCUUGCAGCAUUUCCACCACCAAUUUCUCAAUUUCCUCCUUCUGUACAUAACCAUAUUUAUAUGGUCUGACAUUGACCUUUGGUUCGGUAAAACCAAUAUACGGUGAUCUAUUUCUCUCUUAGGAGUAGUUUUUGGAUCCUCAAAGAUGUCUGCAUACUGUUGUAACAGAUUUUUAAUCAUUGGAAUCUCUUCCUCGUCCCUUUCAUUUCCUGCUCCGCUUCCACCUCCGUGUCUACUUCAUACUUUUGGAAUUCCAACAGAAAACCCUGAUCUUCAUUUUCCCACGUUUUCUCAAUGGUUUUCAGGGAACAUUCUGCUUGGAUGAGGGAUGGGUCUCCUUUCAAGAUAAUUUUCUGUUUGCCCAACCAGAAAGACAUUGUUAGAGAUGGCCAAUGUAUCUUCAUGGUGCCUGUUGUAUCCAGCCACUGCAUACCCAAUAUUACAUCCACAUUUCCCAACUCAAUAGCAAAAAAAUCAGCCACCACCACCACCCCUUGUAGUUCCAAUUCCACUCUCUUGCAAACACCCUUGCCUGCUACACUUGGUGCCAUCUCCAAUUGUAACUGCAAACGGGUUACCUUUUUCCAGAUAUAAGUUCUUUUCCUUUACUGUCCGGUUAUGUAUAAAAUUAUGGGUUGCUCCACUAUCAAUCAGUACUAUCACUCCUUUGCCCUUUAUAUUUCCCUUCAGCUUCAUCGUUCCCUUCGAUGCCAUCCCAUGGAUUGUCUUCAAUUCUAUUUCCUCCCCUUCAGCAAAAUCCAUAUGGUUUAAUUCCACUGUUUCCCCUGGUUCCUCUUCCAUCUUGCCUUCCUCUUCCUUGCUCUCCUCUUCAUUCAUGAUAAAUAACAUCAGCUCCCUUUUUUCCUUCACUCUACAUCUGUGCCCUGGUGUAUAUUUCUCAUUGCAUUUAAAACAUAGGCCCUUAUCCAAUCUGGACCUGAAUUCUGCGUCUGAAAGUCUGUAGUUCGAUAGGAGGUUCACUUUUUUGAUAACUACCCUUAAUAGGUAUAGUUACUUGUUUUAUGGGGAAAUCUGUCCUCCUCAUGUAGCCUUUGUCUGUUCCAUCUUGGAUUUUUCCUGCAUACUCUUCUUUUUUCUUUGGUUCCACUGUCCUGCCCUCGGUCUUAGUCAAUUUCAUUGCUACAUUCCGAUCAUUGACUAGUUUAGCCUCCCUCAUACAAUCUUCCAAUGUUCGAGGAAACGACUAACGACUUCUGCCUGAAGAUUGGGUUCCAGACCGGUCAGAAAAGCAUCUCGUAACACACUUUCCUCCAUGUGAGGGAGGGGAGCUGAAUAUGUGACAAAUUUCUUCACAUACUCACUGUAGGAUCCAUCUUGUUGAAUCCUAAUCAAGCGUGCCACUAGACUUGUUUGUCCGAGUCCUUGAAGAAAUCAAACAUCCUCCCUUUCAAAUCUUCCCAUGACUCUACUUUCUUCCUAUUAUGCGUCCACCUGUACCAGUCCACUUCCUCUUGCCCAAAACUGACCACCGCCACUCUGAUCUUCUCGUUUUCUGGCAGGUUGUUCAUCUCAAAGAAAUGUUCUGCUCUAUAUACCCAGGAUUCUGGAUUUUCACCUAAGAACAUAGGCAUUUCUAACUUUGCGUACUUACUUCGAUCCACAUUGCUUCCAUUUACCUCAUUACAGACUUCCGAUUCUUCUACUUUUCCUUUCAACUUCAUGCUGGAUCCAUCAGAUGUUCCGGAUUCAUCUCUUUUCUUAUAGCUAUGAUUCUCUCUUAGUUCCUCUGUCAGUCUUUCCAUAGAUUUCUUCAUUUCCAGUAGCAUUUCUUUCAUGCUCAGCAGCUCCUUCUCGGUUCCUUCCAUUCGUUCCUCCAUUUGUCUUUGUGCCAUGCGACGCGUCACCACCCCUAGUUUUUUUUUUUCUUUUUGUCGGGCUCUGAUACCAAAUGUUAGGAUUCUACACCCUUUUUAAUAAAAUACCCAACUAGGGCUAAACAGAGACAGAAUAUAUAGCCCAAAGUUACAGCUACAAUAAGGAAUGAAAACAAGAACAAUGAACAACAAGAACAAACCUGCACCCUUCACAAGAAGGAUACCCCUCUCCUAUCAGCUGCUGCCGCCUCCCUUUCUUAAAAGAUAACCAAAAAGAUACCCAUCCCUAUUUCUCAAUCAUUCUAUUUAUACUCACCCUCAAAUUCCUACCCAGUGGGACCCACCUGCACAUUCUUUUAUUUCCCACUCAUUCUCUCUCCUUACAUGUUGGUGAGUUUCCC